rnacentral:tRNA from 1 species
GCCGGGGUCGCCUAGCCUGGUAGGGCGCGUGCCUGGAAAGCACGUUCUCGCAAGGGAACGGGAGUUCAAAUCUCCCUCCCGGCGCCA